CUGUCACUUUAUUUCAACUGGAUGUAUAGUUUUCUUUUAUGAAGAGAGAUUAUAUUAUGCUGCCAUCUGUGAGUGGACUACACCUUUGGCCGUGGAGUCAAACUCUUUACUUCGGUGGAGGAGAAGACUGGGUUAAGAUGCAGCGUAGAUAUCUUAAGUGGCGUAAAUGCUGUGAGUGAGUGAACACAGCGAGGAGGUUUUUGUACGACGGUUCCCACUACUUCUGUCACUGUGGUACAUGUUCGGCCAAGGAACCAAACUGACAGUGAAAAGUAAGUGCUUCACUUCUCUCUGUGGUCUACCAUUUGAU